rnacentral:rRNA from 1 species
CCUACGGGUGGCAGCAGUCGAGAAUCAUUCACAAUGGGGGAAACCCUGAUGGUGCGACGCCGCGUGGGGGAAUGAAGGUCUUCGGAUUGUAAACCCCUGUCAUGUGGGAGCAAAUUAAAAAGAUAGUACCACAAUAGGAAGAGACGGCUAACUCUGUGCCAGCAGCCGCGGUAAUACAGAGGUCUCAAGCGUUGUUCGGAAUCACUGGGCGUAAAGUGUGCGUAGGCUGUUUCGUAAGUCGUGUGUGAAAGGCGCGGGCUCAACCCGCGGACGGCACAUGAUACUGCGAGACUAGAGUAAUGGAGGGGGAACCGGAAUUCUCGGUGUAGCAGUGAAAUGCGUAGAUAUCGAGAGGAACACUCGUGGCGAAGGCGGGUUCCUGGACAUUAACUGACGCUGAGGCACGAGGGCCAGGGGAGCGAAAGGGAUUAGAUACCCCGGUAGUC